rnacentral:rRNA from 1 species
UACAGAGGUCUCAAGCGUUGUUCGGAUUCAUUGGGCGUAAAGGGUGCGUAGGCGGCGCGGUAAGUCCGGGGUGUGAAAUCUCGGAGCUUAACUCCGAAACUGCAUUCGAUACUGCCGUGCUUGAGGACUGGAGAGGAGACUGGAAUUUACGGUGUAGCGGUGAAAUGCGUAGAUAUCGUAAGGAAGACCGUGGCGAAGGCGGGAUCUCUGGGGCCGAAUACUGACGCUGAGGAGCGAAAGCGUGGGGAGCAAACAGG